GAAGGUAGCCUGGGGACUGGUGAAGGGGAGCUGGGGAUUUGAUGAAGGGGGGCAGGGGCAAUCCCCUGCCCCCUUCAUCAAAUCCCCAGCUCCCCUUCACCAGUCCCCAGGCUACCUUC